AGGUGUAGUGGUGCAUACCCAUCAUCUCUGCCACUGGGGAGACUAAGGCAGGUGGAUAUCUUGAGCUUAGGAGUUCUGAGCUGUAGUAAGCUAAGCUGAUUGGGUAUUCAUGCUAAAUGUAGCCUGAAUAGAGUGAGUCCCUGGAACUGGAGGCCAUCAGAUUACCUAACGAAAGGCAAACAGGCCUAGGUAAGAAAUGGAGCAGGUCUAAGUUCCCAUGUUGAUCAGUAAUGGAAAUUGACUCAUAAAUAGCCCCAGCACUUCCAGCCUAGAUGAGAUAAGGAGACUUAGUCCUU
rnacentral:SRP_RNA from 1 species